CAACCCUCAAGCUCAGCUUGGUAUUGGGUGUCACCGAGUUUAAUUGGUGCAUCUUAAAAUCAGUGGCGAUGCCAUCUGGCUUCAAGCGUAGUAACUUUCUCGCUUCGGAGGUUUGGUGCGUGUUUGCCAUUAUCACCCUAAUUUUUCAAU
rnacentral:misc_RNA from 1 species